UGAGGAAAUGUCCUUCCUGAGAUACCGUAGGCUCAGGCAGACCUUGGUACCUCCUACUUCCUGGUUCACCCAUUAGAAAGGGUAUAAAAGCUGCACAUAAUGAAGCUGCUGUCACCACGCUUGUCCCUUUCUGUGUUGGAGUCUGGCUGGAGAAUCCAAUGAGCUGCUUGUCAGGGAGGCCCAAACCAUGUGUGAGCCGGACCAGGGGUGUUUGAGGCUGUCGACAGCGUAGCAUCCCAGAUGGUGGGUCUGGUGACUGGGCCUUUCAUCUGCUCAUCCCAUUGCCUGUUGUGUUUGUCUGCAUUUUCUUUUAACAUCGCAUGCCUCGAUUUUAUAUUGUUUGUGUGGAGAAACUAAGUCGGUGAGCGCCCUGUGCCAGAGCCUGUCCCCGUUCUCACCCCGGUGCGGCCUAGUCAUCGGUAGCACUCAAUUUGUUUGUAGAGGCGCAUUUUGUAAUUCCUACAGCUGAUGGAAAUUGGUUUCAUUGUUUUGUAUUCUUACUAUAUUUUAACUAAAUGUUAAUCUGGGGGAACCCUUUUGCCUCAGUCUGACUUCAGUCACCUGUUGAUCUGUGGUUGUUGGAUAAUUUAUGAGGAAAUGUUUAACCCUGUCCUACCGGUGGUUACAAAUGUCUUCCAGUUGCUCAACUUCUCAUGAUAUGAUCUACAAACUAUGCAUCAGCUAAAACUAAUGCAGUCUAAUACAACAGCCCUACAACUUUCUCCCUCAUUCUCUUGUAUCGGAAGUCGACAGCCCAAAUAGAAUUCGGCCAAUGGUACCCCUAGACGGGAUUUACUCACAUGUUGAACUUUACUAAUUGCUUGUGAUCUCUUCUCAGACUGCUAUGGCUGAUUCCACACACAGAAUCAAGAUUAACAUUGGCUAAAACUUCCAAAUGGCUUGCCAAAGUCACUAGAUAUCUUCACUGCAAGAUGAAGACAACCUUUAGGUUAAAGGGCAACCUGUCACUUCAAUACAUGGACCAAGAGUUUGGCAAUUACUUUUUAAUCUCAACUCUACCACUGAAUUUCAGGGACAAGUAGGAGGCCAAAGGGGUUAGUUGACGUGUAAAAUGUUUGCCCUACCUCUGUGGAUUGCCCGUGAGAAAUUGCGUAACCCGGUUUUAUAAAUUGUGGCAGAUAAUUUUUUUAAAUAUUGUCAUUUACUCAUUAUGCGUUGUGCAAGAAACCUGGUGGAGACCGUGGAGCCAUGAGUGCAAACAAAAGGUAUGACUGACUUGUGUUGUUAACAAGUACACUACUAAAGAGCCACUGCUCAUAUAUUUAACUGCAAGCAUUUUUCAUGAUUUUCAGUUUCAAUUGCUUGGUGAUUGAUGUUUGUUCCAUAGUGUAAGUGAAUCGUAUGUGCAUCUGUACCCUCUAAAAAUGCACUUUAAAUACACAUUUCUGUGGCAGUAAUAACUGCCAUUUUAAAUUGGUAAUUAAAGAGCAAUUUUUCAUUAACUGAACCGGAGUUUGUUGCACAAUAUAUCACAAGUGGGUGUUUUCAAAAUAUCUUUAUUCAUUUGAAAUAGUUGCUUAAAUAUUUCUCCUGCACAGAUGUUUUAAACUAGAGACAAAAAAUAGAAGUCAACCUCAUAGUGCUGUACACUUCAGUGUGACCCCAACACUGUAGGUUAAGACCUUAUGUUUACUGGCUUAGUGUUGCAAUGUACUAAUUUGACAGUCAAAUUUACGGUGUACCUGGAAUGUUAUUUUGACAGUGAAUUAAUAAAAUGUCAAUGUAUUCUAGAGUCUUGUAAGACACAACUGCAAUUGCUGAUUAUGGGCGGUCGACCUCAACUGACAGAACCGUCCAGGUCAAAGGAGGCUCAUGGAUCUUGGCGGGAAGAUGGGCGAAGCCUGGGUUCUUAAAGGACGGUCCAGAGAAGACAACAGGCUCCUGCCUUGGAUGCCCAGAAGUGGUCAAGCAGUUUCAGCCUCCUGUGACGGUGGAAAUUACCAGCAGCCUUUAGUGAUUUGAGUGAACGGACGGUCCAGAGAAGAAUUCCGCCUCAGGCUGGCCAAGUGACUUCAGCCUCCUGUGAAAAUUGCCAACUGAAUGAGAGGACGAUUCAGAGAACACAACAGGCUCCUGCUUCAGGGUCAAGCAGCUUUAGCCUCCUGUGGAAAUUGCCUUGUGCUCCUGCCAACUUGGCGAUUUGAGUAACAGGUAA